ensembl:lincRNA
GUGCCAACCAAUCUAUGCAUAAAACUUCUUAAACGAAAGAAAACAGUUCUAAGGAGAACAGUUCUGUUUUAAGAACAUAUUUGUGCUCUUAUGAGAUUAAUAUCUUUCACCAGGAAGGAUUUAUUUUACUGUAAUAGCUGUACACACUAUUUAGGAAAGUACUGUUAGGCAGAGGACACAGUUCUGACUGAUGGGACUGAUUCACAAGUCACAAACUGGAUGUGUGUGUUGUGGGUGCCAGACCUCAGACACGGCCACUGCACCAAGCAAACAAAGGAUUAUUUUCCCCUCGUUAAUGUUAAUUUCAGACUCAUACAUAUAACUGCCAGCAUUCAAAACAAAACAUUAUUUUCACGUGACUCGUGUUGGAGCGCUCGAAAGAGUUUUACUGUGGAACGUGGUCUUGUAGGCGGGUAGUUCCACUGGCUCACACGAGCAGCCGAUCAGACCAGGAGGUAUCUUGGUUUCCAGGUGCGACUCUUCUCCUAGAUGGGACACCAGUCCAUCACAGACCCCACCAUCAGCAGACUGCAGUCUCUGUUCAAGAAGCUGCGUGGACUGGACUAUUCAGGACAACAGCCGUGUACGGUAUACUACAGUGACUCGAACCCACAGCCCCCCCCCGUGAGGCUGGAGACUUACCCACAAUGCUACACUGUUCUACUAUUGAUCAAAUACCUGUCAUUAUUGUCGGACUUGAAGCUUUGGAGCCUUCCGUGAAUACUACCUAAUCUCAAAAGGAAGAACAGCACUGAAAAAUUACUGCUUAAAUCUGAAGGUUACAGAAGGAAUAGGGAGAAAAUUGGUUUAUCUAACCGAUCUAUUGUUUUUUAUGUGAAAGUGAAGAAUUGAUUAAAAGUGACAGGACCAGAAAUAUCUCUCUUUCUUUGCUUUUAAGUGUAAAACAAACAAAACAUUUACUUUGGAGUUUCAAUGAGGAUACAGAUAUCUCUCCCAUGACUGCAGGUACUGUAGCUGCCAUCAGCUAUUUACCCUCCUGUCUCUGUUAAUGACUUCAACAGGGUCACUGCACGGUUACUUUCCCUUGCGGCUGAGCAGUUUUCAUGUCCAACACCACCUAAUGAAUUUUAAAAAAGCUGUGAUUAAGUGACACAACAUAGUUCAUCAGCCAGGGGAAAACAAACUAUUUCAGUUUGCCUAUUUAUAUGCCCUGAAUACUCAGAUUGACUUCACAUCAAAUGCAAUUAAAACUAUUCCAUAGGAUUUACUGUUUAUUAAAAGUUUCCAAUCAAAUUAGUCUGGAAUGGAUCCUUAUAAGCAAAAACUCUCCCAAGUUGCCAUGGUUACCAAGGUCAUUCCUGCUUUGUAUUAUUAUAAUAAAGUCCAUAUGCGUAGAAGACACAACAGAUAAACAUGUCUGUUGCAUCUUUUCAUGACAUGGGUUUACUCACCACUGUGCAUAUUGAGGAAGCCAGUUAUCAUCAUUUUCUGCUCAUUUUAUUUUUCUAUUGUGUUCUAUUUGUUUGGGAAAAUAAAAAAUAAUGUUCACAAAAAUCAAGUUUUGUGCGUAGUGGAAAAAGGACCAUUUUCUUUUUUUAUAUUGUAUUUUAUACCUUUUGGAAUAAAAAUAAAAU